rnacentral:ncRNA from 1 species
CUAUGGUAUUAAAUACCAUGGCGGAAGGAG